rnacentral:rRNA from 1 species
AUUGAACGCUGGCGGCAGGCCUAACACAUGCAAGUCGAGCGGCUGAAGGGAGCUUGCUCCUGGAUUCAGCGGCGGACGGGUGAGUAAUGCCUAGGAAUCUGCCUGGUAGUGGGGGAUAACGUCCGGAAACGGGCGCUAAUACCGCAUACGUCCUGAGGGAGAAAGUGGGGAAUCUUGGGACCUUCGGCACUUGAUCGACCCGAGGUCGGAUUAGCUAGUUGGUGGGGUAAAGGCCUACCAAGGCGACGAUCCGUAACUGGUCUGAGAGGAUGAUCAGUCACACUGGAACUGAGACACGGUCCAGACUCCUACGGGAGGCAGCAGUGGGGAAUAUUGGACAAUGGGCGAAAGCCUGAUCCAGCCAUGCCGCGUGUGUGAAGAAGGUCUUCGGAUUGUAAAGCACUUUAAGUUGGGAGGAAGGGCAGUAAGUUAAUACCUUGCUGUUUUGACGGUACCAACAGAAUAAGCACCGGCUAACUUCGUG